rnacentral:lncRNA from 1 species
GUUGUGAUAAGUUAUUUCAGAAUUAAGCUGUAAAAGAGGAAAAUCACAAUUUCCUAGACUGAAACAACCACAGCUGGCAGUUGGGAAAAGCAAUAUAGGUUUUUGAUUCUAAGUUGGCUUAAAGUCCAAAGCAAUCCCAAGGAGGUUUUGACUCUGAAGUAAUUAUAAUUCUGGAUGAUUUGGAAAGAAUUCUAAACAAAUCCCAAGAAUAAGGCUAAAUUAAAAAGCUACCAUUGGAAAUAGAUAUUAUUUACUCAUUUUACACACACUUAAAUGUGCUUUCUAUAAAAGUUUGCUCCAUAAAAAUCGUCAACUGUAUUGGUUACUAUUGUUCAGGUGGAGGAUUCUUGUUACGCUCCUGUGAAGCAGUUUGGUAGAAGAAUCCUGAUUGCAAUAGCAUCCGAGAGGGAAAGCACCCAUCUGUCUGAUGCAGCUGCUGCAGUUCUAGAGUUGGGACCUUGUGACGCUGAUACAUCCAAUGGCCAGGAGAUUUUGGGGGUAGAUUCUGCAUCUAUCCAAACGGUAAGCUUUCUAGAGUUUCAUAUUCCAAAGAGUAUCCUCUCCAUCCUGAUUCAUCAUUUGACGUUGAUAUCCAAAGCAGAACAGUGAAGGACCACAAGGGAGGUGAGGACAUGUUAUAUUAGAUUCAGUAUUUUCUUUUGUGUUUUCUGAGAGGAG